UACGAAGGAUGCAAGCGUUAUCCGGAUUCACUGGGUUUAAAGGGUGUGCAGGUGGGGUAAUAAGUCAGUGGUGAAAGCCCCCGACUCAAUCGGGGAACUGCCAUAGAUACUGUUAUUCUUGAGUGUGGUUGAGGCGGAUGGAAUAUGACAUGUAGCGGUGAAAUGCUUAGAUAUGUCAUAGAACACCGAUCGCGAAGGCAGUCCGCCAAACCAUUACUGACACUGAAACACGAAAGUGAGGGGAUCAAACAGG
rnacentral:rRNA from 1 species